GUGGGGAAUAUUCCGCAAUGGACGAAAGUCUGACGGAGCAACGCCGCGUGAGUGAUGAAGGUUUUCGGACUGUAAAGCUCUGUUGUUUGGGACGAAAGUGCCUGUUGCGAACAGUUACGGGUAUUGACGGUACUAAACGAGGAAGCCACGGCUAACUACGUGCCAGCAGCCGCGGUAAUACGUAGGUGGCAAGCGUUGUCCGGAAUUAUUGGGCGUAAAGAGCAUGUAGGCGGGAAUCUAAGUCUGUUGUUAAAAUGCGGGGCUCAACCCCGUAUUGCGAUGGAAACUGGGUUUCUUGAGUGCAGGAGAGGAAAGGGGAAUUCCCAGUGUAGCGGUGAAAUGCGUAGAUAUUGGGAGGAACACCAGUGGCGAAGGCGCCUUUCUGGACUGUGUCUGACGCUGAGAUGCGAAAGCCAGGGUAGCGAACGGGAUUAGAUACCCCAGUAGUCC
rnacentral:rRNA from 1 species